GUGCCAGCCGCCGCGGUAAUACGGAGGGUGCAAACGUUGCUCGGAAUCAUUGGGCGUAAAGCGCACGUAGGCGGUCCAGCAAGUCGGGUGUGAAAGCCCUCGGCUUAACCGAGGAAGUGCAUUCGAAACUACUGGACUUGAAUACUGGAGAGGAUCGCGGAAUUCCCGGUGUAGAGGUGAAAUUCGUAGAUAUCGGGAGGAACACCAGUGGCGAAGGCGGCGAUCUGGACAGAUAUUGACGCUGAGGUGCGAAAGCGUGGGGAGCAAACAGGAUUAGAAACCCUCGUAGUCC
rnacentral:rRNA from 1 species